CAAUGCAAGGUAAAAAAGCUGUGUAGAGUUGGGUGUCAAUAACACAAAGAAAGCAUAGUUUGAAGAAACAUGAACUUGAAGUGCUAACAAAGGAUGGUUUACAUUCAUUGUGCAGUUGUAUCACAUGUUUGCUUGUGUGAUCAACAAAAACAUUACAUUAAUACGAAAUGCAAUUUUUUAUUUUUAGGUAUCCUGAAACUGAAACUGAUGAUUUCGUUUUAUGUUUACAUGGUGAUUCAACACAAAACGAAGCAUGGUGAACAUGCUCUUGCUCGCUUGAAGGUUUACAUAGGAGAAUGGUUACACUUGAUGCUCUGAAAUAAGUCCCUUUUCUGUUUUAUGUUUCUUUUAAUGAUCUAGGCAAUGAAUAAUGUCCAAAUUUGUUAAUCAUCAGCUGAUUUGGUAGUCAGGGUUUUGAGAGUUUAGAGUGGCCACAAGUACUACUUAUUGGGUCGUCUAUCAUCUGAGGUUAGCUGGAACCAUUAAAGUGACUAUCUUUCUCUUUCUGGAUCUUUUGCCACAAUGAGCUAUUGAUACCAACCCUGUUUUCUUAGAGAACCCUUAGACAGAUCAUUUAAUUUUUUUUAUUUGAACAAGAACUUGAGCUGAAAAGAAGGGAAAGGCUACAAGUGAUGUACGAGCGUAAGAAGCAACUUAAUAAGCUCAGGGACAAUGUAGAUCAGGUGGUUACAUAUUGAUUGAAGAAAAACUGACAUCUAUGAGUACAUCGGAGUUGUAGCCAACUGAAACUUUGUUUUAGUUUUGUUAGUGUCAUGGCAGUGACCCAUGUUUUCAAUCCUUGAUUGUUUUGUUCAUACAAAUCAAAGCGAUCUUAAUAUCAUUUGAUAUGUUUACAAAUGUCACAAAGUUCUACAUUGAUAUUUACAAAGUUAAUACAAAGUCUACGCAGACCACAUUUAAGAAAACAUAGCGAGCAAGAAAGCAAAGAUAAUACAACCAACAGAACCUGAUUAAGAAGGUUAUGUUGAUGAAUCAUGAUCCUUCAAUAAAUCAUCCAUUUGCUUCACCUGAUCAUCAUUGUCCCUCAAUUUGUGUUCUGCUGCGUCAACAUCUUUCAUCUCAGCAUUAUUAUCAUCCUCAAUGACAUGAACAUCAUAAACAAUCCGUUCUCGGUCAUCAUCAUCAUCAUCAUCAAUGUUCUUCUAAGUCUCAAGUUCCUUCUCAAGAAAAUGCUUCUCCCUCUCCCUUUUGAAUAAAAUCUCCUUGAGAAUAUUAAUUCCUUCCUCAUCAUAUGCAAAUUUCUCUUCAAUCAUUCUCUCAUACUGCUUUCCUUCCAUUUCAAGUGAAGCUUUAUCAGCUUGUAACCUCAGAUUCAUAGCCAUAGCUUCAUCAGCUGCUGACGCUGAAGCUGCUCUUUCUUCCUCCAAUUCCACGAUUAAAGCAGAUCGAGCUAAUCUCUCUUCCUCAAUAGCUUCUUCAAGCAUUCUCACCUUAUUCAUCAAUUCCAAGUUCUUAUCUUUACCAACCGAACUCUUUGUGUCUCCUUGGUCUUGAUGAUACCAAACGCUUGUUCUACUGGUAAUGGCCAUCUUCUGGAUUCUGAGUAUGAUCUCGAAUGGCAAGUCAAAGAGAAGUUUAUGGACGUUUUGGUACCCAAGUAAGUAAAAGAAAAGAAGAGAAGAGGAAAGAGAUGAAGCUGAGGUAAGAGCGAAGCACCUGAAACUGGGAAAAAGUCAAAGAAGAGAGAGACGGAAAGAAAUAGCUCUGGCUAGGAGCUUCGAAUAAGAAUCGUUCUUAUUUCGUUUUUUCUUUUCAGAUUAAAUAAAAUGAAAAGGAGUCGGCGUAACAUUAUCUUGCACUUUGCUUACGAGUUUCUCCAAAUAAGAAAUAUGGUCGAUCCACGUGACCAAACAAAUAGCUGUGUUGAUUAUUAAGAUAAGAGUAAUUGUAAUACUCAUCCCAGCUCAAUUUGACCCAUUGGCACACAUUUCACAUUUUCACUUGUAAAAACUGUAUCUCAUAAAUCAUAACUACGAGUUUAUUUUAUGGCCUUAUUCUAACUACAAAAAGUAGAAAACGCAAAGAAAGAUGAAAUAAAAAAAUAUAUAUAACUACCAUGUCAUUUUUAUGACAAAUCGUUAUAGACAUAUUUUACCAUAACAUAUUGACUAGAAAAAAUACAAAAACCUAGAAAAACCUGAUCAUAUCCCAAAGAAUAGACACAUUUUUAUUCUUUCAUAUUUGAAAUUAUAACUUUUUAUAAAUUAUAAAGUAACCACUAAUUUUUCAUAAUUUUAUCGGGAUUAUUUAAAUCCUAAACUCUAAAAACAAAUCUUAACACCUUAAAUUUUAAAUAAAAUUUUAAUUAACAUAAUAGAACUAAAAACUAAGCCUGGUCCCAAAUCAUAUUUCUCAAAAUUUAAACAAUGAAAAAAUUAAUCUGAAUUAUAAAUCUUAACUAUUUUUAAUUAUUAAUAUAUAUCAUAAGUUAUAAAUCUAAAAUAUAUCAGUUAAUCAAUGUAUAAAAUAUCUUAAACAUUUUACAUAUUUUAAAAGUAUAUUCUUAUCCCAAAAAAUUAUACUACCUAGUCAUUUUCUUAAGGUUCAAUUAGUCCAACUAUACUAGUAUUUGCAAAGUGAUUUUCUUAGCCUCUCAUUUCUCAUCUUAAAAAUUGGACUGGUUAAAGUAGUAGUUAUUUUUAAUAAAUAACUAGAUUAUGACCCGCACAUAAAAAUGCGGAUAUAUUUUUUGUUUUACAUUUUCAUAGAAAUUUAAUUUUUAUAUUUGUGUUUUUAAUCAUAUUUGUGUUUUUCUUUAUAUAAUAUUUUUCUUGAAUGAUUAAUAAGAAAUUUUAAUAAUUGUAUUAAAAUAGUUUGACCACACCUAUAUCAAUAGAUCAUGUUCAUGUAUUAAUAGAUAUAUUUAAAACCGAAAUUUUAAAUAUAUACAUAUUUUCAGGCUUUUUUUAUUUUUUUUACUUCUGUAUUUUCUUCUCUGUAUUUUAUUACUACUACCUACAAAAUAAUAUACAGAGUAUAUUAUUAUAAGAAGACUCGCGAAGAAGCUAUGCAAGAUUUCCGAGAAAGAACCCGACCGACGAUGGCGGGGCCCGCAUGGAACCCACAUGAAGACUUCUACAUAAAAACGACAACAGUCUCUGACAGCAAUUGUCGGCACCACUAUUAAAUCAAAUGUCGGCACCACUAGAAGACACGUUGCAAGAUCUUAUUCAAGCAACAUUUUCCUAUAAAUACGCAUUCAUGAUCAAGGAAGGGGGCACAAGCUAUUUCACUCUCUAAACUUCCACUCUCUAAAACUCUCCCUUCUGUCUAAAAAUUCUCAGUGUUUUUCUGAGUUUUUAAGCUUGUAAUUUUGUAUCAAAAAUUGUAUCCCAAAUCAAGAUCAAUAAAAGUAAGUUUUACUCAUAUUUUGUGUACAACAUUCAAAUAUCUAUAAAUAUCAAAUACUAAAAUUUUGUAUAUCAAAAUAGUAACAAAGUUACAAUAAUUAAAACAAAUUAUAAAGGAAUCAAUGAAGUUAAAGUUUUGGUCAAAUGAAAAACUGACAUUUUGCAAACUUUUCAGGCAGUCUACACUUCGUAGACUUUCGUUGAAGUUUACAAUAAAAAGUUAAAAGUUUGGUCAAAUGCAUAAUUAACUUCUUUUACGUAGACGUCUAAGUAAGUCUACCUAAAUUUUUAUUUUUGUUGUCAAAGAUAUAGACGAAGACUGCCGGGGAAGUCUGCGGUACAAAAAAAAAUUUUGUUUGGUCAAAUGCAAAAAUACCUGUAUGUUGACAAGUAGACUGCAUCGUAUGUCUGCAUAUAGGCGUAGACAUACAAAACAAUCUAAUAUCUCGACACAGAUCUGAAAAAUGAUGAAAACCAUGUAAAUAGUUAUCUUAUUCUAGUAUAAAUCUCGUUUCCAACCUUCUCUAUCGUCCAAACUCCAAAUAUGAAAAAAAAGAACCGUCUUUAACGAUUCACUAAUGAAGAAAUUUGAAAAUAUGAAGUUUGUCUUUAUGAAAAUGAAAGUUAUGAGAGUUAUUUUAGAUGGAAAUGAAGAUUUGUUGGUUUAGAAUGAGAAAAUAAUGGUUGAAAAUUGAAUACUAGAGCUUUAAGAGCUCAAAAAAUGAUAGUUCAUGAGGGUUGGAAAAAUUGAUGAUAAUGACAUUAUUGUAAAUAAGAAGAAAUGGUGUGGGUGUAUUUGUUUUUUUUUUGUGAAUUUCGAAAUUAAUAAAAAAUUAAAUAAUAAUGGCAAUUUUGUAAAUAAUUCAAAAACAUAAAGAUAAUAUAGAAAAUUCAUUGAUGAAUAGUAAUGACAAAAAAAAAGGUUUGUUUUGGGUUUGACUUGAAAAAAUGGGUUAGUUUUAAAAAACUCCAUUGUACUUUUUUGUCAUGGUUUUUAUCUAUUCAAAUUUUUCAUGAUAAGUUGUUUAACGAGGCAAUUACAUAUUAUAAAGUGGAUGAUAAAAAAUGUUAAAAGAUAGUUCUUACCAAUUUUUGUAGCGUUUGUGUAUGUUCUAUGAACAAAUAAUAAUAAAAACCAAAUUCUUUAGUAUGCUUUCUAACAACGUCACUUUACUCACAAAAUAUAAUAAAAUUACUUUUCUAUACAAAUAUUUUCUUAUCUUUUUUUGUCAACAUUAUAUUUUACUAACCAAAGAAUUUAUAAGAGUAUAAAUAUUAAAAUUAACACAAAUUACAAGAUGGGAUACAUGUAGGCUUUAUGUUAUAAACAAAUCACGUUUCUGCAAAGAGACAUGUAUCUGGAAUGAUCGAGAUUCUCCAUCAAUCUUCGUGCUUUCGGUAACCUUCAUGACCGUCUAAUCUCCGGCAGAUUUUCUUGUCUUUCUCAACACUGUGAUUGUCACCAAGAUUUGUACUGUCUAAACUCACCUUUUUUUUCUUAACCACUGCUCCAAUAUGGGGCUCAAACAAUCUCCGGUGAUUUGGCACAAGGUAAUACAUAUAAGAUUAGAGAAAACUCUUUAUUAGAUAAUCUUCAAAGCAAAACAUUAUAACUCAACUGAAUUUCGCAUACAAAAAUUAAGAUAAAUCCAACUUCUCCAUCUUUCUUUUCAUUUGGGAUACUCACUCAUAUACCCGUAGAAAACAGAUUUGAGCACAACCCGAGAAAAAUACCCAAAUCCAAUCAAAACAUAACGAGAUAGAAUAGAUUCACGAAAGAUGAUAUUAUGGCUGGACUCGUCGGAAAAAAUAUCUGUAACGGAAAGAGAAAUCCUGUUACACCAUAAUUAAAAUUCGAUUACGAUCAUUAAUUAAAAAAACAAAAUGGAACAAACAAGAAAACCGAUUAGGACUGGGAAAAAAAUAUGAAUCAGAAAAACCAAACCGAAUGCAAUCCGAAAAAGUAGUAUCAAACCCAAACCGGAAUUGGUUAAAUAUUUGAACGGGUUCAAAAUUUUGGUAUCUAAAAAACCAAAACCAAACUUGAUCUGAACCGAAGUAUUUCGGGUACCCGAAUGUAUCCAAAAUAGAAUUAUACACCUACAUAUAUUAAUUAUUUUUAGAUUUAAUGUAUAUUAAAAACAUUCAAAAUAUAUAAGAUACUUAUAAGUUGUUCAAAAUACUUAAAAAUUUAUACAAAUAGUCAAAAAUAAAUGUUUAAAAUAUCUAAAAUAUACUCAAAACACCAAAAAUACUUGAAAUAUCUAUUGAUUUUCUAUCCAAAUAUUCAAACCAACCAAUUUAUAUGUUAAUUUAUGUAUUUUGACAUAUGUUGUUCAAAUUUAUAUGUAAUAUAUUAUUUUGGUUAUAGAUUUUGAGAAAUUUUAAACAUAUAAUAUAAUGAAUUUUAAUUUUUUUAAAAAUAAUUUAAAUGAGUUAUCUGAACCCGAACUGAAUCCGCAAAGAUCCGAACCGAACCGGAAUAGGUAUCCGAACAUCCAUCCCUAUAACCGGUGGUAAAAAGAGCCAUGAGUGAUAAAAAUGAGUCACUGAUCACUGGAACCUAAUUUUUUUUAAUCAAAAUGUUCUUAUAGAGAGGUCGGAGAAAGUCUAGAGAGAAAUUAAAUAUUUAGAUUUAAAGUUCAAUAAAAAAAUUUCUCACUCAAAAAUUAAUAUACUCUUAUAAACCAGUUGGAAAUAUGUGGCUUUAUAUUGAAUGGCUUAUAUUAAAAGUUGAGUGGACAGCGAUGGAGAGAAAAGGAUGUAAUAUGAGUUUAUAGUGUUUUGGGUUUUUGUGUUUCUAAAAGGAAACAACGAGAGAGAGAGUAGCUUUUUCACUUCUAAUGUUCUAUUAAUAAACAAGAGGAUACGUACAUAUUUAUAGUGACAGAAAAAUAUUAAAAUAUAACCAGUCGGUUAUAAAUAGAAAGAAUUACACUAUAAGACAGUUUUGAGUUAUUUAUAACAAAAUAAGACAGUUUCAGCUACUGAGGUACUUUUUCCUAACUUUAUCACAUUUCGUUUAGUUUUUCAAGUUAAAACAGAACUAUAUACUAAUUUAGUAGGACCCACUAUCAUCUCUCUCUUAUCUUCUUUAUUCUGAACUCACUUUUUUUAAUGAUUGACUUUUAUCUUUUUUAUCGUUUUGAAGUUUUCAUCAUUUUUUUUUUAAUUCUUUUUCGUCAUGAGGUCCUUGGACAUCAUGAUACUAUCACGCAGGAGUCGGGCAGCGUCAUCAAGAAUCUCGCACUCAACAAUGGAGAUUUAGAACAAAAUGUUUAACAAAUCAGAAACAAAAAAAAACAGUUUUGUUCAAACUUUUGAAUGUAAAACCAUGAAUUAGGUUUGAAAUCUAUCAGAUCUGGACAAAAUACAUAAAAAAAGUGGAGGAAUUCGUAAAGAAUCGUGAAAAAUAGGUGAGAGAGGCGGAGAUUAGAGUUUCUGGUCGAUAGUGACCAAAAAAGAAGACGAGGUUAUUUUCGUAAUUUUCCAUCAUAAAAUUAAAAAAAUCAAAAUAAAAAGUUCGUGUGUACAUUACUUUCAAACUGUACAUGUGUACACCUAAUUUUAUGUUAUACAUCAAAGAGAUUGUGUACACAAUUUUUUCUUUUUGUAGGUUUUCUAUCUCAAUAACUAAGCAUCUACGACUUCGUGAACUCACGAUAACGUUAACACAAUGUACAUGUGAUUUUUUUUCCUUCUUCCUAUGUACACGCAUGGUCAGACAUCUUUGAAAUCUGACUGAACCCAAAUAUCAUCCUUCACAUUUUGUGUAAGAGCUUCUGUGUUUUCAUGGUAGCUUCAUGGUAGAUCUUAUCUUGAUUAAUUUCUGGUUGUUUUACAUAUGUACACUAUCAUAUUUAGCGUACACAUAUACACGUCUUUAUUUAUUUAAAAGAUGUAUGACCUUGCGUGUACAAAUCUGACUGAACCCCCAAUAUUUUGGUAUAGAGGUGCUUGUAUGGUUAUGGUACACACCAUUUUGUACAUGUGGAUAUGUAAAGCGAUGUACACAUGUACAUAAAAAUGAAUCAAUAUAUGUGAAAAAGUUGUACACAUAUAGGUGGAUUGGUGGUUGCUUACUAAAACAAUACCAAAAUACAUACUCCCUCUGUUUUUAAAAGAUGCAUAUUCUAGACUUUUCACAUAUAUUAAGAAAACUCAUUAAAUAUACAUUAUUUUUUGUGAAUAACAAUUUUCCAUAACUUUAAACCAAUAGAAAUUCCAUAAACACUAUUAAUUUUUUUGAAACUUACAAUUUUUCAUAAAAUCAUACAUUGAAAAAGUAAAAAAUGUAUCUUUUUAAAACAAAUUUUUUUUCCAGAACAUACAUCUUUUAGGAACGGAGGGAGUAAUAAAUAGAUCAACUCAAACUGAAAAUGGUGUACAUGACAAUAGGUGCACAUAUGAUUUUGUGUUUUACUCAUAUUAGCUUUGAUGUUAGUUCAUUUAAUUUAUUUUCCAAUGCAUUUAAGAAUUAAAACAUGAGUUUAGGAUUUUAAAGAGAAUACACGAUUCUACGAUACAUUACUUUAGUAAUAUACAAUGUACACAUGUAAAGAUAAAGAUGUACACAUGUAAAGAUGUUCACAUGUUAUCUUUGUACACAUGUAAUCAUGUACACAUGUAAAGAUGUACAUGUACAUAUAAAAUCAUGUUGUACAUUUUUUGCAAUUUUAUUUAAGGAGUGGCAUUUUAGUAAAUUUUAUUUAAGGGAUGUCUAGUUUCAUGUACACAUGAAUCGUUGUACAUGUGGAUAGUGUAUAUGUAUGUACAAUAUAUCAUGUACAUAUGAAUCAUUUAUUUUUCAUAUUUUUUUAAUGAAGGGUAUUUUCGUAAUUUUAACUUCAUCUUCCCUAAAUCAAUUAGGGUUUUCUGCAAUUUCCCUCUAUAGCCGCCAGCCAUUAUUCUCACCUUAAUCAUCCUUUUUUUUUUCUUGCUUAUAAUACAUUUAAACAUGUAAAAAUAUCAUAUAAAACAUAAUUUCAAGCUCCAAAUGAUUUUGUUUCUACAACAAAAACGUAAAUCUUGUUUUUUCUUUUUAUUAAUGUCACAGCGUGAGAGGGAUGAAUUGUGGAACACGACGUGAAAGAAGAAGCUUUUUAACAGUUUCCGGCGAAGCCAUUCCCUUCACUGAUGCUUUUAUUAUAUGGUUUAUACCACUAUUUCCAUGGUUAUAAAAAAGAAAAUAGGGAAGAAGAUGAAAUACUGAAUGGGUCCACUUAGUUAUAUUUAAAUUAUAAUUUAGUUAGAAGAAAAGAGAAUAGUUAGAAGAAAGUUAGAAAAAAGUGUCUAAGGAGCAAUAACUGCUCUAGAGUGUAAUAAAAAAUUCAAAACUGUCCUAGAGUGAAAAUAACUCUUAUAAAUAUCAGUCAAAGACCGACUAUGACUAUUAAGACAAAAAAAAAGAAGAUACACUUUAUCUUCUAAAUAGAUAAUCACAAAUAUUAUCUUUAACACUCCCCCUUGAUUAUCUAUUUUGUAUUACAUAGUGCUUCGUUAAAAACUUAGUUACGGAAAAAUCCAUUGGGACAAAAACCAUAACAAGGAAAAAAAAGUACACUGCCGUAAUCUCCCCCUGAGAAUAUCGGACAUAGCUUUCUCGUCACAGGUCACACAAAUGAUGCAUUCCGAUACCGUAGACGUGUUUUCGAAAUAUUGCAGUGGGAAGAGCCUUUGUGAACAAGUCAGCUGGAUUGUCGCAUGGUCGUACAUACUCGAUGUCCACCUCUUUAUUUUUCUCGAGCUCCCGUAUGUAUGAGAAAAAUCUUGGAGGGAUGUGAUUCGUCAUGUCGCUUUUGAUGUAGUCUUUUUUGAGUUUGAGCGACACAAGCCGAGUUAUCUUCAAAUAUUUUCGUCGGCUCUUUCUCGUUGACUAUUCCGCUUGAAACUUGUAUGUGGUGACUCACUGACCGAAGCUACACACAUUCUCGAUAUGCUUCGUGAAGCGCAAUAAUUUCAGCAUGAUUCGAAGAUGUCGCAACCAGAGUUUGUUUCUGAGACCGCCAAGAGAUCGUGGUUCCACCAAUUGUAAAAACAUAGCCGGUUUGUGAUCGAGCCUUAUGAGGAUCUGAUAAAUAUCCUGCAUCUGCAAAACCAACCAUACCAAACUCGGAUUUUCUAAAAAAAUACAUUAACCCUAAAUCAAAUGUACCUUGAAGGUAACAGAAUAAGUGCUUUAUUCCGUCCUAGUGCCUGCGAGUAGGAGCAGAACUAUAUCUCACCAGUAGAAUAGUAGCAAAAGUUAUAUCUGGUCUGGUACAGUUUCCAAGAUAUAACAGCCCACCGAUAGCACUCAUAUAAGGUUCUUCUGAACCUAAUAUCUUCUCGCUAUCUUUGCAGGACCUAAAAGGAUCACUCAACAUUGAGAGCAAUCAUUGGAGUACUUAAAGGAGUCGCUUUGUCUAUACGAUAGCGUUUUAAUAACCUUUUUGUAUAGUUUGAUUGAUGCACAAAUAUCCCUUCUCGGAGAUGCUCUAUCUGGAGCCCAAGACAAAAUCUUGUCUUGCCGAGAUCUUUCAUUUCUAACUCCUCUUUCAUAUGAGUUCGAGCAUCAUCAACCUCAUUUUGAAUUCCAAUUAUGUUCAGGUCAACUACAUAUAUAGCAAUGAUCACAAAGCCAGAUGACGAUUUCUUUUUAAAAACGCAUGAACAUAUCGCAUUAUUCACAUAUCCUUUAUUCGAAAGAUAUUCACUUAAGCGAUUGUACCACAUGCAUCCGGAUUGCUUUAAUCCAUAUAGUGAUCGCUGUAACUUGACCGAACAAAUCUUCCUGUAUUUUUCUUUCAAUGCUUCAGGCAUUUUCAAUCCCUCAGGGAGCUUCAUAUAUAUAUCGUUAUCCAACGAUCCAUACAAAUAUGCAGUCACAACGUCCAUGAGAUGCAUCUCAAGAUUUUUAGACGCCGUUAGGCUUAUCAAAAAUCUAAAUAUAAUUGCAUCCAUUACCGGGGAAUAAGUUUCCUCAUAAUCAAUUCCCGGUCUCUGAGAAAAACCUUGGGCAACUAAUCGGGCUUUAUAUCGUGUUACUUCAUUUUUCUCAUUUAUUUUUCUCACGAAUACCCACGUAUACCCAAUAGGAUUUAUAUUUUCAGGCGUUAUGACUAUAGGUCCAAAGACAUUUCUUUUAUAUAGGGAGAGUAAUUCAAUUUGAAUGGCCUUCUUCCACUCCUCCCAAUCAUGUUUUUUUUUGACAUUCCAAAAUGGAUCUUGGAUCGGGAUCAUCAUCUUUAUUAUCGAUCUCUUUGGACACAGAAAAGAAGAACAUUCCAUCAACAUCUUUUAUCUUAUUAUACUUGGUGACGUAUAACCCACAUAUAUUCCCAAUCUCUUUUGUGGGCCCAUUUUUCUUCUUUGUGGCGGAGCUAUCAGAACAUAGACCGCACACCCAAAUACACGGAGAUGGGAUACAUCUAGCUCUUGCCCAGAUGCCAAUUGUAAUGGGGAGUACUUAUGAUAUGCACUUGGUCUUAACCAAACCAGUGCAGCCGCAUGCAAUAUAGCAUGGCCCCAUAUUGAAAUUGGGAGCUUUGUUCUCAAGACUAACGGCCUUGCAAUCAACUGCAACAGUUUUAUCAAUGACUCAGCCAUGCCAUUUUGUGUAUGCACAUGGGGAACUGGAUGCUCCACAUCAAUCCCCAUUGACAUACAAUAAUCAUCAAAGGCUUGCGAUGUAAAUUCACCAGCAUUAUCAAGCUUUACUUUCUUAAUGGCAUAUUCUGAGAACUGCGUUCUUAGCUUUAUUAUCUUGACAAUAAACUUUGCGAAAGCCGUAUUUUGUGUCGUCAAAAGAGACACAUUUGACCAUCUACUACAUGCGUAAAUCAAUACCAUGAAAUACUUAAACGGCCCGCACGGUGGGUGGAUCAGCCCACAUAUAUCACCAUGUAUUCUUUCCAAAAACAUUGGUGAUUCAUUGCCUACUUUUGCUGGUGAUGGCCGAGUUAUAAGCUUUUCUUGAGAACAUGCAUUACAUGUAAACUCGUCUGUUUGUAAAAUUUUUCCGUUUUUCAACGGAUGGCCAUUUGAAUUUUGCACUGUCUUUCUCAUAAUGUCUGAACCAGGAUGUCCUAGCCUUUCAUGCCAUAUUUUAAAUGUAUCAGUAAACUUCAUGUUUACCACGGCAUAGGACUUAGUCAUGGUUAUUUUCGUACAAUAUAGUCCAAAGAAUAACAUUCUUCACUCUUCAAGUAUAUGUUUCCUCUCGGACUUAAUGCAAAGAAAUUCAAUGGCAUCGUUACUCAUAGUCUCAAUAUGAUAUCCAUUUUUUUGGAUAUCCUUAAAACUUAACAAGUUUUUAUGAAACUUGGGGGAAUACAAUGCAUUACUUAUUUCAAAUAUCGUUUCUCCUAGAAUUAAAAACUUCGCUCUUCCUGAGUCCAUAAUAAUCUUUGCAUUACUAGAUAUUGUACUUACGCUUCCAGCGUAAUCUCUUAUUUUGAGACUGGAAAAAUAUUUCUUAUAUUUAAUUAUCUUGUGCAUUGACGCACUAUCUGCCAAACACAAAUCUCCAUCCAUAGUUUCAAAGUUUGGUAUUUUCUCGGCUGGUUUAAGAACUUUUGGAGCUUCGGUUGGUUAGAGCUUCCGGAUUGAUGACUUCACCGGUAAAUGAAAGCUCGUGUUCAGUUGGUCAGAGCUUCGUGCUGAUAACGUGUUAUAAACCAGUUGGAAAUAUGUGGCUUUAUAUUGAAUGGCUUAUAUUAAAAGUUGAGUGGACAGCGAUGGAGAGAGAGAGAUGUAAUAUGAAUUUAUAAUGUUCUGGGUUUUUGUGUUUCUAAAAGGAAACAACGAGAGAGAGAAUUUUGUAAGAGAGAGAGUAGCUUUUUCACUUCUGAUGUUCUAUUAAUAAACAAGAGGAUACUUACAUAUUUAUAGUGACAGAAAAAUAUUAAAAUAUAACAUCGUCGGUUAUAAAUAUCAGUCAAAAACCAACUUUGACUAAUAAGACAAAAGAAAAAGAUAUACUUUGAGUGUGACUGGCACCCAAUAGAGUAAUUUGGAGUAAUAAAAAUAGAAAAAUUCAGAAUAAAACUGACAGAGUAAAUAAAGUACUAAAAGACAAAAAAAAAUGAACAGAAGUUAGCGUAACUCAUUAUUCUCCAAAAACCAUGAGUGAAAAAUUAAGUAUUUAUAUCUCAAAUUAAACAGUUGACAGAGUAAAACAACAAAAAAAAAUUUCACUUGACUGGUGUAAAAAGAGAGUAAUCCAGCGUUAAUAUUUAUUAUUCCACUUUUCUUAGGCCAUAAAUACAAUACAGUCAUACUCUUUAUCUUCUAAAUAGAUAAUCACAAACAUUAUCUUUAACAUAUACAAUACCUUUAAUCAUUUGUUCAAUAAUUUGGUGCAGACAAGAUAACUAUAAGAUAAAAUAAAAUAAAAUCAAAUAAAAUAAAGAAGGGAAUCUCCAAGCUUCUCGACUCUUCUAUGAUUCAUUACUAUAAGCUUUGUUCGACAAUGUCACCACCAUUUUCUUUAUCUAUAAAGAAAACUUUCAUCGUCUCCCUUCGCAUCUCCUCAUAUAUCUCUUAUCUUCAGGUAGCUUUCUCUUUAAUUGUUAAACUUUUUUUCGAUGUCCUCAGUGUGAAUCGUUUUCACCAUUAUGAUUUCGGAUCUAGACUUGCACCGUCAACUGAUUACUUUGUUCGUUUUCCUUUGUUGGAUUUUUUUUCUCUUUUCUAUACGUUUCCAGGGAAUCUGUUUUGUCUGGAUCUGUUUCACUUUUUUCAUUUGUCACCUUUUUAUAUAAUUUUAUUUUUAACGGAAUGAAAGAACAAAAGUAGGAGAAGAUUAUAUAUUCGUGACAUUCAAAGUCCUCACCCUGAAUUGUCGGUGUUUUGACAACCGUAAGACUUUCUUGCAUCUGCACAGAAAAAAGAUGUAAUAAUGUUACAAUAAAGUUGUCUUUCUCAAAUAUGAUCAUUAGCUUUUAGCAAACAAGACAAAACCUCUUGUGCUUUAUGGAUGGGGAUGUCCUCUUCCUUUUCUCUGUCUCCAGUCACCUCAUGUGAGGCUUGCUCUGCGUCAUCUGAGUUUUUAAUUGAUUUCACUGGGUCUGAAUCACCGUUCAAGCUUAUAGAUUCAUGAACUGUAUUUUCUUCAUAAGAUUUGACAGUCUCAAGAAUGCUUUGGAUCUUGUCUGGUACUUCUUUUUCUUCUUCCUCAUUGGCUUUUAUUAUUUCAAUCUUUUUGGCUUCAACAAGUGUCUCUCCUUCAGGUGAUGCAGAUGAAACUUGUAUAACCUCAUCAGAUUUAACUUCUUCAUCUUGCAAAGGAGCCAGAUCAAGAAUCCUUUCUUUUUGUUCUUUUUCUUUAACCUCAAUACUUUCUGGUACUGGAACUGUCUCUGAUCCAUAAGAACCUUCCUCUAGGUCUUCUUGAUGUGGUGCUACUUCUUUUUCUUCUUCUGGUUUUUCUUUGAUCUUCUCAUCUAAGGUUUUUUUUGUUUCCUCUGAUACUUUAGAAGGAGACUCAAGAGAUGGCUUCUCCAUCUGCUCACCUGAUUCGACAUCCGCAUGCUUUACAACUGGGGUUUCCUCUGCCUCUGACUCAUUCAAUGCUAGACUUCUCUCCAAACUCUGCGCUCCAGCAGCUUGACCUGCUUCUUUCUUCUCAUCCAUCAGCUCCUCUCUAUCUACCUUCACUGCAAGAUCUAUUGGAACGUCAGACUUGUCUGUUUUCUCUUGUUCUUUAUCCUCUUGCUCUGUGUCUUCUUUGGUCACCAGAGACUCAGCUUCACCCUGUGGCAUGUUUCUACCCAAAACAUGUUCAUCUUCUUCAGUACCUUUGGAUCUUUGUUCUGGUGAGGGUUUUGGUGGUUCGAUUACUACCUUAAUAGUUUCUUGCACAUAAUAUGAUUAAAACUUAUUUUUAUUGACUUUGAUUUGGGAUACAAUUUUUGAUACAAAAUUACAAGCUUAAAAACUCAAAAAAACAUUAGGAAGUUUUAGAGAGAUGAGAGAGUUUUAGAGAGUGGAAGUUUAGAGAGUGAAAUUGCUCGUGUCCCCUUCAUUGAUCAUGAAUAUGUAUUUAUAGGCAAAAGUUGCUUGAAUAAGGUCUUGCAACGUGUCGUCUUCUAGUGGUGCCGACACUUGAUUUAAUACGUGUUGAGUCUUCUUAUAGUAUAUAUGUAUAAGAAGACUCGCGAAGAAGCUAUGCAAGAAUUUCCGAGAAAGAAUCCGGCCGACAAUGGCGAGGCCCGCAUGAGAUCCACAUGAAGACUUCUGCAUAAAAACGACAACAGUCUCUGAUAGCAAUUGUCGGCACCACUCAAGACUCAAUACGUAUUAAAUCAAGUGUCGGCAUUACUAGAAGAUGACACGUUGCAAGACCUUAUUCAAGCAACCUUUGCCUAUAAAUAUGCAUUUAUAAUCAAGGAAGGGGGCACGAGUGAUUUCACUCUUUAAACUUCCACUCUCUAAAACUCUCCCUUCUUUCUAAAAAUUUCCUGUGUUUUUCUGAGUAUUUAAGCUUGUAAUUUUGUAAAAUUGUAUCCCAAAUGAAGAUCAAUAGAAGUCGGUUUUAAUCAUAUUCAGUGUACAACAUUCAAAUCUUUAUAAAUAUCAAAUACUAAAAUUUUGUAUAUCAAAACUAGGGCUGGUUCGCCCUACGGGCGGAAUAUUAAUUUGAUAUUCACUAAAUGCUCGAGUUGAAAUUUGUUUUAAGAUUCAAAAAUUUGGUUCUGUUAUGUGUUACUUAUUAGUAUGCGUUGGUAUAAUUGUUUUUCGAUUAUUCUUGCUUUGGUAUUGUAUCAAAUUAACUAAUUGUCCAACUCAUAAUUAUAGAUGUACAAAUGUGGAUUUGUGAUAAAGUUUGAUGAUAAUACUGUUUUUUUUUUUAAUUUUUAUUCAUAGUGGAGUGUGUAUGUAUCAGAAAGAGGCCUAUAACAACUUUUAUGUUUUUGCGUAUGGAUUUUAAAUAUAUAUUAUUUUGUAUAAUGCAUACUUGCUCUACAACAUUUGCUUAUAGACUAAAAAACUGUUUUCUAUAUUUUUAAAAGAGAAAAUAUUUAGUCUAAAAUAUAACAUGGACAUAUGUAUUAACUAUAUAUAGAAGUUGAGUGUUAUUUUAAAAUGACAUAUGUAUAGAAGUUUUUCAACCAUUAUUUCACUGGCACAAAACAUUUAUAACUACAAAUACCUUCUUUUAAAAGCAAAACUAAUAAAAGCGUGUACUACAAAUGUAUUUUGAUAUAUAUUAUAUGCAUCAAGUUAUAAAAAUUGGAAACAUUGCAAAACUGUUUGGAGCAAAGUUUUUAAUUUCACGAUCUUCAUCUUGACGUCAGUUCAGUGCCGGCUCUGGCCACACGCAGAAGAAGCAUGGGAUUUCAGCCGACACGUUAAUAAGUAUUUUCGCGGCCACAUAUUUAUAAAAAGUGAUUUUAGCCUAGUGGUUCUAAGAGAAAUUAUCAUUGCUGGAGGUGCUGGGUUCAAUUAUCCCUGAUUGCAUUCAUUUAUUUUCAGCCUCCCAUAACGCACGACUUGAUGACGUGGCAUCACAGGAGAGAAGCGAACAUAUUUAUAUAUAUAUAAUAGGAUCAGCCCGCCCUACGGGCGAGAUAUAUUUUACUUGUGAUCUAGGUUAUUAUUUUUUGUAUAAUUUUGUGGUUUGUGUUUUAGAUUUUCAUUUACAAAAGAUGUGUAUGAUAAUAAUUUUUGUAUUUUUAAAAAGUUUUAAAAAAAGAAAUAUUAUAUGUGAUAAGAUAUAUAUUGCUUCUUUACAAUAGUUGUUUCUGAAUUCUGCUGUCCAAAACAAAUUAACUUGAUGAUACUAAAUGUUAGUUAAAUUUUAU
rnacentral:lncRNA from 1 species